rnacentral:lncRNA from 1 species
CUCUGAUGUUCGCUCUCAGUUUCAACAGGGACUUGAUGAAUCACUGUUGGGCCCUAGUGGCUGGCCCUAAAAAGCCACCAGGUGAACAAUGAAGUUAGUAUGUUGGAACUGUCAGGGUUUGGGCAAUCCUCUGACAGUUCAAGCACUAAAGGUCUUAGUGACCCAGGAAAAGCCCGACAUUUUGUUUUUAAUGGAAACAAAGAACCAGGAAACAAUGCUACUUAACUUACAACGGAAACUCAGAUUCUCAGAUGUUUUUCUAGAAAAUCCAGUUGGAUUGGCA